AAUUUUCCUCAAGGUACGGAACAACUCAGGGAAACUUGGGCUAAUACCGUAUGAUGCAGAGAUGCCAAAGAUUUAUCGCCUUGGGAUAAGCCCGCGUCAGAUUAGGUAGUUGGUGGGGUAAUGGCCUACCAAGCCUGUGAUCUGUAGCUGGUCUGAGAGGACGAUCAGCCACAUUGGGACUGAGACACGGCCCAAACUCCUACGGGAGGCAGCAGUGGGGAAUCUUGCGCAAUGGACGAAAGUCUGACGCAGCCAUGCCGCGUGAAUGAUGAAGGUCUUAGGAUUGUAAAGUUCUUUAGCCUGUGACGAUGAUGACGGUAACAGGAGAAUAAGCCCCGGCUAACUUCGUGCCAGCAGCCGCGGUAAUACGAAGGGGGCUAGCGUUGUUCGGAAUUACUGGGCGUAAAGCGCGCGUAGGCGGUUAUGCAAGCCAGAGGUGAAAUGCCUGAGCUCAACUUAGGAAUUGCCCUUGGAACUGCAUGGCUUUGAGGACGAGAGAGGUGAGUGGAAUUCCCAGUGUAGAGGUGAAAUUCGUAGAUAUUGGGAAGAACACCGGUGGCGAAGGCGGCUCACUGGCUCGCUUCUGACGCUGUAGCGCGAAAGCGUGGGGAUCAAACAGGAUUAGAUACCCUGGUAGUCCACGCUGUAAACGAUGAG
rnacentral:rRNA from 1 species